GGGCUCGUAGUCUAGCGGUAUGAUGUCUCCCUGACACGGAGGAGGUCACCGGUUCGAAUCCGGUCGGGCCCA
rfam:Thermoplasmatales archaeon Gpl AMDT5_GPLC00004, whole genome shotgun sequence.